rnacentral:rRNA from 1 species
GGGGAAUUUUGGACAAUGGGCGAAAGCCUGAUCCACCAAUGCCGCGUCCAGGUGGAAGGCCUUCGGGUUGUAAACUGCUUUUGUCCGCAACGAAAAAGCUUCUCCUAAUCCGAGAGGCCCAUGACGUUACCUUAGGAAUAAGCACCGGCUAACUCAGUGCCAGCAGCCGCGGUAAUACGUAGGGUGCGAGCGUUAAUCGGAAUUACUGGGCGUAAAGCGUGCGCAGGCGGUUAUGUAAGACAGAUGUGAAAUCCCCGGGCUCAACCUGGGAACUGCAUUUGUGACUGCAUGGCUAGAGUACGGUAGAGGGGGAUGGAAUUCCGCGUGUAGCAGUGAAAUGCGUAGAUAUGCGGAGGAACACCGAUGGCGAAGGCAAUCCCCUGGACCUGUACUGACGCUCAUGCACGAAAGCGUGGGGAGCAAACA